GGGGACGGUUUUCGGAUUAUUGUGGCGUAGAGAGCUCGUAGGCGGUUUGUCGCGUCUGCUGUGAAAACUGGAGGCUCAACCUCCAGCCUGCAGUGGGUACGGGCAGACUAGAGUGCGGUAGGGGAGAUUGGAAUUCCUGGUGUAGCGGUGGAAUGCGCAGAUAUCAGGAGGAACACCGAUGGCGAAGGCAGAUCUCUGGGCCGUAACUGACGCUGAGGAGCGAAAGCAUGGGGAGCGAACAGGAUUAGAUACCCUGGUAGUCCAUGCCGUAAACGUUGGGAACUAGAUGUAGGGGCCAUUCCACGGCUUCUGUGUCGCAGCUAACGCAUUAAGUUCCCCGCCUGGGGAGUACGGCCGCAAGGCUAAAACUCAAAGGAAUUGACGGGGGCCCGCACAAGCGGCGGAGCAUGCGGAUUAAUUCGAUGCAACGCGAAGAACCUUACCAAGGCUUGACAUAUACGAGAACGGGCUAGAAAUAGUCAACUCUUUGGACACUCGUAAACAGGUGGUGCAUGGUUGUCGUCAGCUCGUGUCGUGAGAUGUUGGGUUAAGUCCCGCAACGAGCGCAACCCUCGUUCUUUGUUGCCAGCACGUAAUGGUGGGAACUCAAAGGAGACUGCCGGGGUCAACUCGGAGGAAGGUGGGGAUGACGUCAAAUCAUCAUGCCCCUUAUGUCUUGGGCUUCACGCAUGCUACAAUGGCCGGUACAAAGGGCUGCAAUACCGCAAGGUGGAGCGAAUCCCAAAAAGCCGGUCUCAGUUCGGAUUGAGGUCUGCAACUCGACCUCAUGAAGUCGGAGUCGCUAAUAAUCGCAGAUCAACAACGCUGCGGUGAAUACGUUCCCGGGCCUUGUACACACCGCCCGUCAAGUCAUGAAAGUCGGUAACUUCCGAAGCCUGUGGCGCAUCC
rnacentral:rRNA from 1 species